AAAACAAGUUAAUUUCAUUCAAUUAAAAGUAAUUAGAAAAAAAUACGUUUCAUUUAAUUUCCAUAUACUAUCCGGUCUGCGCAUGUGCAGACACUUUUUUUCCUGAAGGCGCCAAGGCGGGGAGGUUGAACGUGAUGCACUCAUUUGAAUGCUGCAUCCAGCUCUGCAUUUUCGGUAAGUAAUCAAUAUAUAAUCAUUGGUGUGUUAUAUUUGUUACUUAAACAGGGUUCUGUUUACACUUUUAAACAUUUUAUAGAAAAAUGUGUUUAGCUAAUGCUAAAUUGGUAUGUUUUUAUAUCAAUUAACGUUACAUUAAAUUAAAUUACAACUAAGGUUUCAGCGAUUAGCUUAACUACGUGAGUUGUGUAAGGUUAGUAAGUUAACUUAGCUUAAGUGUUAAAUGCUUGGUGAAUUCAGUGUUUGUCUUGAUUAUUUAUUAGUUUGUGGAAGCCGAAUAAAAGCAAAACAGUUUUACGAAUGUUAACGUUAAUUGUAGCAGCACCUUCCUUGCUGUCUAGGCUUGUAACGUUACGUUACGUUAGACUGGCCAAGCCUAACAUUACAUAACGUUAUUCCUGACUGGCUGUAAGCAUUUCUUGUAAUCUUGUCAAUGUGUUAACAUUAGAACAAAAUAGACCUGUGAAAUCAUGUUGGUAAAAUAUGCUUAAUGUGCACUGGCGGCAAGAAUUUAUGUUUCUACAUAAUCAUAAUGGCAGGCAUAAGUUACGUUGGGUACGUGGAUUUAUCAUUUCUUUAAAAGUUUGUAUUUUUUUUUACACCCGUAGACCCGCUCCUACUCUGCCGCUGACUGGCUCCGACCGAUCGUGACGUCGCUCCACUUGCGCAAACCAAACCAAAGAGCUUCUUUGACCUAACCAACGAUUGCAACGGACACUAGCCAAUCAGAGGCAGGUCUUCGCGGAAUGCGAGUAGGAAAAGUAAACAAGCUUCUCUUUGGUGGCAGCGGCAUGGGUCGCAGUCCUCGUGGACGGUCUCCGACUCGCCUUAUCAGAGUUUAAAACGUAAAGAUAAAUGUUGAAUUCCAGCGCAUAACAACCAUCCCACUUGAAACAACCUUUAUGGCUCAGUUGGACAGCCAUUUACCCUAGCUAACAUCUAUUUUCAUCAAAAAGGAAGGUGUUUCUGGCCAAAAACUAGCCAAACAUCUGGCGAUCUUGCAAGAGGCUACAAGUGACAUCAAUCUUAAAUGGGCAGCAGUCCUCAAGGCACUUUGCAUCUAUCUUGGUGAGGAUGAUGAACAUCUCAUUCAGGAGUAUAA